rnacentral:lncRNA from 1 species
CAUGUAAAAACUAUAAGAUGCUAAUCUAUAAGGAAAUACUAGCACCUCCUUCAAAAGUUAGAACUUAUUUUAAGAAAAUUCUGGCCGGGCACGGUGGCUCACCCCUGUAAUCCCAGCACCUUGGGAGGCCGAGGCAGGAUGGCAGUGCCUGCUUUUCAUCUUUGCUGCCCAUGAGCAAUUGAAAUGUAGUUGUGUGUGCUCUUUUGGAGAACGAUUUUAAAUCAGCCGAAAUGCUCUGUAAUGUUACUAACCUUCUGAGGGAGAGGCACGGGUGGGAACCGGGGCUGCGCACAGCGCUUGCGGGCCAGCUAGAGUUCCGGGUGGGCGUGGGGUUGGCGGGCCCGCACUCGGAGCCGCCGGCCGGCCCUACCUGCCCCAGGUAGUGAGGGGCUUAGCACCCAGGCCAACAGCUGCGGAGGGUGUGCUGGGUUCCCCAGCACUGCUGGCCCACCGGCGCUGUGCUCGAUUUCUCACCGGGCCUUAGCUACCUUCUUGCGGGGUAGGGCUUGGGACCUGCAGCCCACCAUGCCUAAGUCUCCCCCGCGUUACCGCCGCCGCCGUGGGCUCCCGCGCAGCCUGAGCCUCCCCAACGAGCACCGCCCC